rnacentral:rRNA from 1 species
GAUGAACGCUGGCGGCGUGCCUAAUACAUGCAAGUCGAGCGAACAGACGAGGAGCUUGCUCCUCUGACGUUAGCGGCGGACGGGUGAGUAACACGUGGAUAACCUACCUAUAAGACUGGGAUAACUUCGGGAAACCGGAGCUAAUACCGGAUAAUAUAUUGAACCGCAUGGUUCAAUAGUGAAAGACGGUUUUGCUGUCACUUAUAGAUGGAUCCGCGCCGCAUUAGCUAGUUGGUAAGGUAACGGCUUACCAAGGCAAGGAUGCGUAGCGACCUGAGAGGGUGAUCGGCCACACUGGAACUGAGACACGGUCCAGACUCCUACGGGAGGCAGCAGUAGGGAAUCUUCCGCAAUGGGCGAAAGCUUGACGGAGCAACGCCGCGUGAGUGAUGAAGGUCUUCGGAUCGUAAAACUCUGUUAUUAGGGAAGAACAAAUGUGUAAGUAACUAUGCACGUCUUGACGGUACCUAAUCAGAAAGCCACGGCUAACUACGUG